AACACAUGCAAGUCGAACGAUGAACCGCUUUCGGGCGGGGAUUAGUGGCGAACGGGUGAGUAACACGUGGGCAAUCUGCCCUGCACUCUGGGACAAGCCCUGGAAACGGGGUCUAAUACCGGAUAUGACUGUCCAUCGCAUGGUGGAUGGUGUAAACCUCCGGCGGUGCAGGAUGAGCCCGCGGCCUAUCACCUUGUUGGUGAGGUAGUGGCUCACCAAGGCGACAACGGGUAGCCGGCCUGAGAGGGCGACCGGCCACACUGGGACUGAAACACGGCCCAAACUCCUACGGGAGGCAGCAGUGGGGAAUAUUGCACAAUGGGCGAAA
rnacentral:rRNA from 1 species